UGGGGAAUAUUGCACAAUGGGGGAAACCCUGAUGCAGCGACGCCGCGUGAGCGAAGAAGGUUUUCGAAUCGUAAAGCUCUGUCCUAUGAGAAGAUAAUGACGGUAUCAUAGGAGGAAGCCCCGGCUAAAUACGUGCCAGCAGCCGCGGUAAUACGUAUGGGGCGAGCGUUGUCCGGAAUUAUUGGGCGUAAAGGGUACGUAGGCGGUCUAUUAAGUCAGGUGUGAAAGCGUGAGGCUUAACCUCAUUAAGCACUUGAAACUGAUAGACUUGAGUGAAGGAGAGGAAAGUGGAAUUCCUAGUGUGGCGGUGAAAUGCGUAGAUAUUAGUAGGAAUACCGGUGGCGAAGGCGCCUUUCUGGACUUUUACUGACGCUCAGGUACUAACGCGUGGGCAGCAAACAGG
rnacentral:rRNA from 1 species